GAUGAACGCUGGCGGCGUGCCUAAUACAUGCAAGUCGAGCGAACGGACGAGAAGCUUGCUUCUCUGAUGUUAGCGGCGGACGGGUGAGUAACACGUGGAUCACCUACCUAUAAGACUGGGAUAACUUCGGGAAACCGGAGCUAAUACCGGAUAAUAUAUUGAACCGCAUGGUGCAAUAGUGAAAGACGGUUUUGCUGUCACUUAUAGAUGGAUCCCGGCCGCAUUGGGUAGUUGGUAAGUUAACGGCUUACCAAGGCAAGGAUUGGUAGCCGACCUGAGGGGGUGAUAGGCCACCUUGGAACUGAGACAGGCACCAGACUCCUACGGGAGGCAGCAGUAGGGAACCUGCCGCAAUGGGCGAAAGCCUGACGGAGCAACGCCGCGUGAGUGAUGACGGUCUUCGGAUCGUAAAACUCUGUUAUUAGGGAAGAACAAAUGUGUAAUUAACUAUGCACGUCUUGACGGUAACUAAUCAGAAAGCCACGGCUAACUACGUG
rnacentral:rRNA from 1 species